ensembl:lncRNA
GGACAGAGGAGUCUGGUGGGCAUAGAGUCAGACACGACUGAAGCCACUUACACAAAUCCACUAGUGGAUUACAAUUGCUUUUCAAGUACUGAACCAGCUUUGCAUCCCUGAAAUAAACCCCGCUUGUGUCAUGGCUUCCUUGUGGCUCAGCUGGUAAAGAAUUGCCUGAUGUGGGAGACCUGGGUUCAAUCCCUGGGUUAGGAAGAUCCCCUGGAGAAGGGAAAGGCUACCCUCUCCAGUAUUCUGGCUUGGAGAAUUCCAUGAACUGGAAUGGGGUCGCAAAGAGUCGAACACAGCUGAGCGACUUUCGAUUUCACAUUUAAUGUAAUUAUUGAUGAGGUUGAAAUAUGCCAUUUCCUUUUCCCCUUAUUCUUCUCAUUUUUUUUCAUUUCUGUUUUAUUUUUCUUGUCUUCCUGUGGGUUACUUAAAUAGUCUUUAGAAUUGCGUUUGGUUUAUAG